UGAAGAUUAGUGAUCUGUCUCUAUCAAAAACAUUUUGGAUGUUAAUGAAGCUACCGGUCUGGCAAUUUUGAAAACCUUUUUUCCCCGAGAAAAUAUAGUGAUUUGCAAUCCAAUUGGGAAAAGAAAUAUUGUUUACAAAAGUGAUGCGGUAUGGUACAAAUUUUUUGAGUCAACGUAUCCGCUUUCAUAUUUAUCCUACGAGAAAUAAGAGAUAAAAAGAGCCAUCGAUUUUUUUUUUCUUUUUGGAGAAUAAGUAGAAAAAGCUGACCACAGGGUUGGAGAAGACAUACCACGAGAAAUAUGAUAUAAUAUGAGAAAGAUGAAAAUCAUUCCCUAUCGAUUUUUAAUUUUUCGAGAUAAAUAGAAAUUUUCUGAGUCUAGCUUGAUUUCAACGUACUUUAAUUUAACACCUAAAAUUUUUUAAAAUAAAAACAUUUUUGUUAAACUUCACAACUUUACUUAAAAUAUUAAUUAUAAAAAACCUUAAAACCUAAGUGUUAAAUUUACAAUACGUGAAAACAUGUUGAACUUAUACACCACUGACGGACCACAAAAGGACUGGAUGCUCGGACCGGUUUGUUUUCAACGUAUUUAAUUUUAACACUUAGAUUUUAACCCGAAAAAGAAUAUUUUUAUAUAUUAAAAAUUAAACUUUACUUGAAAUCUGAUUUUAAAAACUCUUGAGUUUUAGUCUAAAUCAGAAAAAAUAGAAAUGGAAAACAUAAAAUCUUUUUUUAAUGUAUAUUUUAUUUUAAUAUCUAAAUCAGUUUUUUUUUUUAAUUUUAAAAAUUUAGAUCAGUUGUUCUUAAUUUAUUUUUAUUUUUAAAAAGUUAGAUGAAUUGUUCCUAAUUUUUUUUUAAUUAAAAAAGUUAGAUGAAUUGUUCUUGAUUUAUUUUUAAUUUUAAACGUUAGAUCAAUUGUUCUUAAUUUAUUUUUAGUUUUUAAAAGUUAGAAAAGUUAAAAUAU
rnacentral:lncRNA from 1 species